AGUCACUGACAUUAGAUACCCGGGUAGUCCAGGGUGUAAACGCUGCAGACUUGGUGUUGGAGGCCCUUUGGGGGCAUUCAGUGCCGGAGAGAAGUUGUUAAGUCUGCUACUUGGGGAGUACGUCCGCAAGGAUGAAACUUAAGGGAAUUGGCGGGGGAGCACCGCAACGGGAGGAGCGUGCGGUUUAAUUGGAUUCAACACCGUAAAACUCACCAGGGAAGACUGUUACAUGAAGGCCGAGAUGAAGACUCUGCUAGAUUUUCAG
rnacentral:rRNA from 1 species